GGCGAACGUUAGCGGCAGGCCUAACACAUGCAAGUCGCGCGAGAAUGGGGGCUUCGGCUCCUAGUAAAGCGGCGGACGGGUGAGUAACACGUGGAUAAUCUGCCCUUCGGCGGGGGACAACAGUCCGAAAGGAUUGCUAAUACCGCGUAAGUCGGCGAGGUCUUCGGAUCUUGUCGGGAAAGAUGGCCUCUUCAUGAAAGCUAUCACCGAAGGAUGAGUCCGCGUCCCAUCAGCAGUUGGCGGUGUAAGAGACCACCAAGGCUAAGACGGGUAGCUGGUCUGAGAGGAUGAUCAGCCACACUGGAACUGAGACACGGUCCAGACUCCUACGGGAGGCAGCAGUGGGGAAUAUUGGACAAUGGGGCAACCUGAAUCCAGCGACGCCGCGUGGGUGAAGAAGG
rnacentral:rRNA from 1 species